CUCAUACGUGCAAGCAGGGCUGGGAACCAUCGGAUCUCCCUCUGAAUUUCUAGAACUCCUUGUUCCUGCUUGUUCCAACAAUAACAAAGGAAAAGGCCUUUCUUUGGUGGCAUUUUGGCUUUCUGCUGCAGUGAAUCAUGGAGAGGUUGUACAGAGGGACAGAACCAGUAAAUAUGGACAGAGGGAAAGGCAGAGGGCUGCGUGCAGUAGGGCUGGCAGAUGAUGCCUGCUCCUCCUGAAGGCACAGAACACGCACAGGAGCUCCAUGGUGUUGACUGAAAUCCCUGUCAGCUGCAGUGCUCGACUUCCUCGGGAUAGUGACCUGUGCUAUUCUGACUGUGUCUUCUUUAUCCAUGGAUGAUGAAGAGAGACAGAGCACACGGUGCUCGGAGGAGCUGCAUCUGCAGAGGGGAAGUGAGAAGCCUUUCCCAAGAUGACUCCAGACCUGGAGAAGACAGCGAGUGCCUACCAUGGGGGGCUGUACUGGAGAGUGUGGAACCUUCCAGCCUGCUGUGAUUCAUUUCCGAAAACCAAAGCUACAGUUCUGACGGAAGAAAUGCAACGCUUUUAAUCUCUGCACCUCAUUUAACCACAGUGUGCUCCAAACCACUGGUGCCCUUUAGGGGCCUGGUACCCUGGGCUGCCUUGAACAGCGCGACCCAUAACGGUGAAUCACUCCUUGAGUUUCCCCAUGUGCAGUUUUGGCUACCGCUCGCUAUGCCCAGCUGUGAGAUUAAUGUGUCCUUCUUGUUAUGUCAGGAUUGCUGGCAUGCUGUUGUGGUCGUUUUGCUGAGCUACAGGAGCUGUUGGGCAGAGCUGGAGCGUCUCCAAUUGUGAUGAAAGAAUCAUGGAAUGAGCUGAAAUUGGGGAAUUUGUGCUCGAGAUUUCUCUGCCGAAGCCCUGAGAGUCACCUGCUUUGCUUUGCCAGGUGUUAGAAUCAUUUCUGCCUCAUUCUUUAUUGUGAAGGUAUAAAGCCUUCAGGUUUUCAUUCUGGAAAAAUGCCUUAACCACAUUCCUCAGCUGAACUUUGUGCACCAGCGUUUCCUUGAGUGAUAAUGUGCCUAAGCGCAUUUUCCAAACUUGUGUAGCAAUGAGCUGGCAGGGAUCACAGGCACGCACCACACAAAUGAGUGCAAUAGGGCAGCAGCACGAAGAAAGCAUCCUUUCCACUGCUAUCAUUGCCUUUCUUACAAACCUGAACUGUCAUUGCUUGUGUCUUUAUGCCCAAGCAUUUCUAUCACUCUGGAGUAAUAAAUUUACCUGCAGCAUGAUGAGCUUUGGCAUCCCACUCUUCACCCACGUUUUCAUGGUACCUGGACACCCCCAGCAGCCAGAGAACAACCCUCAGCCCACAGCUUCCCAUACAGGUGUGCGCCAGGGAGCCUCCAAGAGCACUCAUACAUCAGUGAUGCUGAAGCCUUUAUGAUUUUCGAAGAUAUAUUUGAACUCUGCCCAUGCUGUUUGUAGAACAGCAAGGUGUUUGGACAGCAUUAAAGCUUGCUAUGUUUGAAAUGCUCUCACUCUGCAUAAAUUUGUCAUGACUGAAGAUUAUAUUAAGCAUCAGCACGGCAAAACUGCACAGCCAGUCUCCCACCACCUCGCACACUCCAAUGGGCUUUCUCACUGCUUGCACAAACCAGGAACACUUUCAGCCUGAGUUUCUGAUUAGUGAACCAACCCUGAACUGCAAUGCCAAGCCUGAAAGUGAGAGAAGAUCUCAUUUUUCUCCCAUAUCUGCAGAGUUUGACUUCCUUCUUUUUUUCUGCCCUGGUGUUUUGCUCCAAUGGGUCUUGUUCUUUAUUGCAAAGAAUGAUAUACUUGAUAAAAGGGAAUCUUGGGGCAGCCUGACAUAUCUUAGGAAGUCUUGAACAUUGCCAGAAGGCCUAAGAAGAAGCAGUUUAGCUGGUAGAUAAAUUGGUGUAAUAAGUGACCUGACAUUUCUUUCAUGUUUGACCACACUGCACAGUGAAAACUGACAAAAUGUUCCGAUUGAAAAUAUCCUCUCCUGGUUAUGUAAAUGGUUAAUCCUUAAAAAGGCCCACAUUUCCCAUCAGAGCUCAGCUGAAGCUGCAUGCUCAUUAUUCCCAGCUGGGAGUGUUAUGCUUCUGCUGCUCUCAUUCUAGGCUAUUGUUCUAGUUCACCUUAAAGCAGCCAUAUAAAAACAUCCUUGGGAAUAGCAGCAGCACCAUUUUCUGGGCAGUUGAGGAUUUGAAAGCAUGACAGCCAAAAAGGCAGAUGGAGUUAAUCUGCGAAAGUCAGUUCAAAAUCAAUAAGACAAUACAUUCAGGUGAGAAGAUGCUGAACAGUUAUUUUAAAAUGCCUUGAGACUAGACAAAAUGUACUUCCCAUACCAUUCAUCUAUAAUAAGUCAUUGGAUUUUCUGCAUGACUGAAUUUCAUUUUGCAUCUGCGUUGUACAUUAAGGCUCACCUGUACUUGUAUAUAUUUAUGCAUUUUUAAGCCCACAGCUGAUUUUGGAAGUAUUUUUUUUUUAAAUAAGACAAUAUCAGCACACAGAGGGCAACUGGUGUAAAUAGUUCCCUGGGAAGUACUUCUAGAAAAGAGCUUUGUUUGUAAAGAGAAUUGUCCAAGAGCACCAAGAUUAAUGAUUAAUGAAGAAAAGGUUAACAAGUGAGUAAAGAGAAAAUCCAUGGACUUUUUUAUUUAAGUUCCUUCCAAUUUAUUUGUCAAAUACCCAUACAUUGGAGGCAAGCAGCCUCCAACUGAAGCUAUAGGUUUUUUGCUAGGACUGUGCCAGACUGGAGGGCUCUGUGCCAGGGCAUCAGGAGGAUAACAACGCAAGGAUGAUCGCUUUCAUCUCCACAUGAAAGGGGACAGACUGUGUUUGAUGUCCUCACAAUUUCCAUGCUUUAUCCUCCAUGCCCAGCAUGUGAAGCUCAUGGCUCUCAUCUACGCAAGAGUUGAUGGAAACCCUGGGUCCCUCCUCACGCUGCAUGUUUGCAACCCGAAUGCUGUCUCCUUUUCCAAACUGCUCUCCAGACUGAAAACCUGGUUUGCUUGUUUACCAUGAGCUCUCACAUUUCCCCAAACAGAAGUCAGCCCAUGGAUGGCCAGUCCCUAUCACCUCUGUCUGUUCGUCCCACGCUUUUACAGGGCCACCUUCUGCUACAAAUAAAUCUGUCAGUCUCUGAGUUCACCAAUAAUUUCAAUGCAUGAUUUGUAUUAUGACAAAAAAAAAAAAAAAUAGUAGCAUGAAGAUCUACGUUUUGCCUGCAGGAAUCCUCCAUCUGUUGAUAGGCCUAGCAGGGUGUGAUGCUGAGCCUCUACAGAUUUCAAAGUAAGGGUUUGCCGAGAUACUUAACUGAGUUAAAGGCAAAUCAAAUACAGCAGCUUUAGGAAAUUACAGCAACCAUCCUAUUGUUUGAUUCUCACAGCCUCUAUUUCAAGCUUUCUGACUCAUAAGCAAAGCAAGAUUCAACUAAUAGUGUAAGAAUGGGAACACUGAUUAGCAAUGGGACAACUCUUAUUUUGGGAUCAGAAGGGCUACACGACAUUUAUGCGGGCUCAGCACACUCUCACAUAAUAAGUCAGGUGUGCUCAAGUAGUUUUUAACCAGCGUUUGAAAUCAGAAAUCACAAAACAGUUUUGAACCUUUCCGCUGGUGCAAGUAAAUAGUAAUAAUGUAUUUUACAUUGCAUUGCAUGUAAUGAAUAUAAGGUUGGCACACGUUAUCUGAAAGUGAUAAGGAGAAAGUAAUGCCUUGUCCUACAUAGUUAAUGACUCAAGAAGUGUUGUAUGGGUGAAUUAGCAGUCACAAACAUGAAGGUAGGUGAGCAAUCUCCUAGAUGCAAUAUUGAUUUUAAAGAUUAACAACAUUUUCAGAGCUUGUGUGUGGCCAAGAGUUUUUGCCUGAUGUCCAAGUACCUAGCUGUGUAGCUAGAACAAAAACCUAAAUAAAAAUCUGAAUUGAAAUAAAUGUCUUAUUUCCUACUCUCUAAUCCUGUUUGA